UUGGCGCAAAGCCUGCCGGGGCAUGGAGUCCCGGUGAGCUUUGUGCGCAUGUGCGGGAAGGUGAGGGGGCUCGGGGGGCCUCGCCCGGGAGAGUGAGGGUGCGGCGUCUGUGCAGCCCAGAUACAGCUCUGGCCAGCUCUUCGGGGAAAGCCUCCUUGCCUGCUCCAGGCUCCAUGGAGGCCCCUGCAUCCCUGCCUGUGAAGCAGGAGGAGCCAGCCACCGAGGGCC